GUUAAGGUGGCAGAAUUCGGUAUUGCGAAAGUCCUAAGCACUUCUCACAAAGGUUCAAAUCCUUUCCUUAACU
rnacentral:tRNA from 1 species